UACGGGGGGGGCAAGCGUUGUUCGGAAUUACUGGGCGUAAAGGGCUCGUAGGCUGCCAACUAAGUCGGACGUGAAAUCCCUCGGCUUAACCGGGGAACUGCGUCCGAUACUGGAUGGCUUGAGUUUGGGAGAGGGAUGCGGAAUUCCAGGUGUAGCGGUGAAAUGCGUAGAGAUCGGGAGGAACACCAGAGGCGAAGGCGGCGACCUGGACAAGCACUGACACUCAACUACGAAAGCGUGGGGAGCAAACAGG
rnacentral:rRNA from 1 species